CUGUGAGAGCCUCCUGCACUGUCACCCAACUCCCAAGGGCAGCUGGAGAGAAGCCAAGGUCCCGGGCUCCAUGCCCCUCGAUUUUAGAUCCCACCUCCCGGAGGAAGCAGGCAGAUGCUUUACCGUGUGAGCCACCAGGGAAGUCCAUGUUAUACUGGAACCAAUAUAACAUGUAUUUGUCCAUAGGGACUUCCCUGGUGGUCCUCGGCUAAGACUCCACACUCCCAAUGCAGGCGGCCCAGGUUUGAGCCCUGGUCAGGGAACAAGACCACGUGUCACAACUAAGAGUGCUCACGCUGCAACUAGAAGAUCUUGCACACUACAACGAAGACUGAAGAUCCUGUGUGCCACACAUCAGAUCUGCUGCAGACAAAUAAAGACAAAUGCUAAAAAAAUG
ensembl:lncRNA